AGAGUUUGAUCCUGGCUCAGAUUGAACGCUGGCGGCAGGCCUAACACAUGCAAGUCGAACGGUAACAGAAAGCAGCUUGCUGCUUUGCUGACGAGUGGCGGACGGGUGAGUAAUGUCUGGGAAACUGCCUGAUGGAGGGGGAUAACUACUGGAAACGGUAGCUAAUACCGCAUAACGUCGCAAGACCAAAGAGGGGGACCUUCGGGCCUCUUGCCAUCGGAUGUGCCCAGAUGGGAUUAGCUUGUUGGUGGGGUAACGGCUCACCAAGGCGACGAUCCCUAGCUGGUCUGAGAGGAUGACCAGCCACACUGGAACUGAGACACGGUCCAGACUCCUACGGGAGGCAGCAGUGGGGAAUAUUGCACAAUGGGCGCAAGCCUGAUGCAGCCAUGCCGCGUGUAUGAAGAAGGCCUUCGGGUUGUAAAGUACUUUCAGCGGGGAGGAAGGGAGUAAAGUUAAUACCUUUGCUCAUUGACGUUACCCGCAGAAGAAGCACCGGCUAACUCCGUGCCAGCAGCCGCGGUAAUACGGAGGGUGCAAGCGUUAAUCGGAAUUACUGGGCGUAAAGCGCACGCAGGCGGUUUGUUA
rnacentral:rRNA from 1 species